rnacentral:rRNA from 1 species
GAUCAUGGCUCAGGAUGAACGCUAGCGGCAGGCUUAACACAUGCAAGUCGAGGGGCAGCAUAAUGGUAGCAAUACUAUUGAUGGCGACCGGCGGACGGGUGCGUAACGCGUAUGCAACCUACCCUUUACAGGGGGAUAACACUGAGAAAUCGGUACUAAUACCCCAUAAUAUUCUGGGAGGCAUCUUUCGGAGUUGAAAGCUUUGGUGGUAAAGGAUGGGCAUGCGUUGUAUUAGCUAGUUAGGG